AGUAGAGAAGGUAGGCAGUGCUUGCAAAGGCCUGAGUCUGAGGUACUUCUUUAUAGCACUGCCAGAAUGGACUAAUACACUAUGUGAAGACAAAGGGGAUGUCUGCAAGCCAGGACGAGUGCGUCUACCAGCAACUGAGUUCUGCUGGACUUUGAUCUAGGACACCCAGCCUCCAGAAUGGAAUGUGCCAUAUAUGGAGACCUGCAUGGAAAGGAACUGAGGAUGCUCUCUGACUAAAAGCUAGAAGGAACUGAGACCCUCAGUCAACAGUCUACAAGACACUGAAUCUUGCCAGCAGCCAUACAAUGGAGAGAGGGGAACCCGAGUCAAGGAAUGCAAAUGGCCUCUGGAAGCUGGAAAAGGCAAGAAACGGAUUCUCCUUUAGAGCCUCUGGAAAAAAAUGCAGUUAUGCUGACACCUUGAUUUUACCUCAGUGAGACCAAUAAUGGAGUAUGACCUUCGGAGCUGAAUAAAAUUAUACAUACACAUCUUAAUUUCUUGGAAUUUGAUUACUUCUUCUGCUUUGAAAUUAGACCAAGUUUAGCCUGCCUUUGCUAUUUUGGCAUAUCUCCAAUUCUUCGUGAUUUUCUCAUAGAUGGGGUUGCACUAUGCUGCCUGAGCUGGUCUGGAACUCCUGGGCUGUAAUGAUCCUCCGGCCUCCUCAGCCUCCCAAAAUGUUGGGAUUACAACGCAAAGGCCACAUAAGGACAGUAAGAAGGCAGUCAUCUGCAAGCCAGGAAGAAAGGUCUCACCAGAUACCAACCCUGCCAGCAAGUUGAUCUUGGACUUCCAGCCUCCAAAACUGGCCUUCUACUCACAUGGGCUUCCGUGCACCUGCUUCAGGAGACAGCAACACUUGCGCCCGCACUGCGGCAGGCUCCCAUCACCUGGUGGAUAUGCCGUGCUGAGUCUCAUCACACCUUAGUGAAGGAACACAUGGACCCAUAUGUUAGCGGAUGUGUUUACAUCAUUUUAUACAGAAAGGGGAAGUAUGUUUCACAAUAAAUGUUUGCAUACUUUGGAGCACAUUUUUUUUUUCUUUCAGACAGAAAGAGACAAAAAGAGAGGGAGAAACUUUGGCUGAAGCCAUUGAUUCUUUAUUCCCUUGCAAUGUUUUUAUCACCCAACCUUGAAAAUAGUCUGUGUGUCAGCUGGGCAGGGUCUGUGCUGAGGCUUGGGUCCCCGGGGGCAAAAAAAGUGUAGUGACUUCUAGUUGAAAGAGUCAGGAAGGGAAGAGUCAAUAGUUCAGCGGUAAGUAUUCUGAACCCAGGCAGGGAAACCAAAAUUCAGGGAUACCUGAAGCCCUCAAGCUAAGGGCCAGGAGCUAGGAGCUGGAAGGAUACAGGAGCUAUGUCAUAAAUAAUUUAGGAGGUGGCUGGAUGAUUGCCAGAGUGUCCACAGCAUGCUUUACUUGGCUUUUAUGGAUACAAUGUGCAUAGGUUGCUUUUAGGAACAAUAAAGAAAUGUUUAUUAAACUAAUUAUGAUUCAAUAAUAUUGACAAUAAUGACAAUGUUGAUAGUAUGCAAUAUAAUAGACUGGUGUGCUUUUAUUUCUCCCUUUUUCUGUGCACAUCUGUUUUACUCUGUGACAUUCUUCCAUUUAGACUCAGAAAUAAGAAACCGGUAUUGCUGCAAAGGUAGGCUGUCACUGGAGGAAAUGAAGAUUAAAAAUUAAAAAAUCAAAAUAUCAUUUUUAUAGUUUAAAAAAACAGCUUAAGUGUAACAGAGAAAUACUUGGAGGAGGUUAGAGGAUGAGACAAGGAAAAAUUUGCUCCAAACCUCCUCCCGCGUAAUCACCUCUAAUAAACAAAUAUCCUAGAUAAAUAUAAUUUUCCAAGCUAGGGAAAUAAAAGAGCAGUUGGAGAAUAUAAUGUACACAAGUUAAUCACCAAAUAAGGCCUGCCCUAUUCCUCUUUCUCCUCCAGCCAUUAUAAGGAACAGGAAACAUAGAAUUCUCUGGUAAAUAUGGAAUCUAGGAGUAGAAGAAACCCAUGCUUAUGUCUUGCCCAUAACUCAGAGAGAAAGCAGAUUCACAGAUGGUGCCCACACCCCAAAGUCAUGGAGAUUGUAGAGUGCAGAAUUAUUCUCCAAGUUCUGUCCUGGUUCUUUCAAUAUAUUUUCAGGAAUCAAUCCUGUACU
rnacentral:lncRNA from 1 species